rnacentral:SRP_RNA from 1 species
AGUGCUUCUCGCGCGGCGUUAUCUCGUGAACCUCCCCAGGGCCGGAAGGCAGCAAGGAUAAGCGGGCUCUGGCGGGUGCGCGAGGAGUUUUUUC